GUGAAUCGUAGAAUUGAUAUCUAAGAGAUCAUAUCCUUAGGGGCAUGUCCUGAAACCCGUAUGGAUCACUUCGGUAUUGAUAUUAUGGCUUUACAAUAAGGUGAUGCUAGAAGUAGUGCCGAGUAGAUAGCGACUGCCGGCAGCUCCAGUUUGUCUCAUUCAAGCGAAGAAGUUGUAAUUUACUUCCUUUCUUGUCGCAUACUUCUAAGGCAUGUAUAAAUUACGGUUUGUAACCCUUAAUACCCCUAGACUGUGCUUGAUGUCUAUAUUCAGUUACCUGUUUUGUUUAUGUAUGCUACAAUAUGGAUUUUUCUAUGGGGAAUCCUAAUGUGAUGCCAAAAGUUGAUUUUGAAACUUGUUUGUUAUGAUAUU